ensembl:lncRNA
AUUUCUAGCUGGAGAUCCUUCCUCUGGGAGUCUUUCCAUGAGCCUAGGACAUGGUUGCUUCUUGCCUUGGUCAUAGCUGACAUUUUCCAUGCUGGAUGAACUUUUGGUCAGUCCCCAGGCUUCUGCAACACUCCUGAAAUAUGUGAUUAUAUGACACACUAUCCCCAGAGGCAAUAGAAAUAACCACAAGCCCAAAAGGAAACCUUGGUUUUGUUUUAUUGAUUGUGACAGCACUCAUUCAUACUCUAAGAAUUUGUUACAGACUUUCUUUUUCUUUCUAUUUUUUUGUCUAAUGCAUUGUUACUUUAAAAAUUGAGGAUUUCAGUUUAGUAAAACACAUGAAAACAAAGCUAGGAAUUUUUCUAUAAAGUUUCUUGCUUGUCCUUUGGUAGCUUUUGUGGGAUGUAAACGUAUCAUUGGAGUGAAAGCACUUCUGCAGGAAAAGAAACAGAAUCAAGCUCAUGUGCUGGAAUACCAUUUAAUUUUUCAGUUGCUACAUGGUCAGUUUUUCAAUCAGUCCAUUAGUUGCCACAGUCAUCUGGGGCCAUAGAAACUGUUCAAAAUGGUCUUUCUUUGCAUGUCAGACCAUUGCUAGGGUUAUUAAGGAAAGAUAUAUAGUCUUUAUAGUCUAACCUUGCUAUUUUUAUUUUUUUUAAUAGAAUCAGCUCAUAAAGCUUGUAAGUCUUGGAAAAACUCCACAUUUGAGCUCCAUGAGAUUUUUGUAUGGAGGAUUUUUGUUAAACUGAUAGUUAGGGAAGGGUCCUACAGCUGACCAGAAGGAAGAGCACCAAAGCACAAGGAAGCAAGCAAGGCAAAAUAUAUGGAGAGUAUAAGGCAAUAUCAAGUGAAUAACUAAUGCCCAACAGAACCACAUAUUCAGAAUUAAGUUUAAAAAGGGAGCUGGUUCUAAUGUACUCAACUCUAUAUGUUGAUGUAAGUUGGAAUCAGAAUAUACCAGUCAGUCUUAACAGCUUGCUAAGACUUACGAUUCUUUCAUUUAAUGCCUUGCGGAUGACUGUGUGCGUUGGGGAGAUGAGCUCUCAUUUUUCAACUGUUUAUGAAGAACCAGAGAGGCAGAAAGCCUCAGUGCUCACAAACAUUUCAGAAAAAGGUACAGUUACCCUAGCAACAAGCCCUCUAUGAAUGGCUUCAGUACAAAUAAGCUAUUUGGCUGUGAUAUAUGUAUCAGAAAAUGUCUGGAAACAUUAUGGAUUUGGAAAGGAAGGAUGUCCACUCACAAUAUGCAGUACUUCUUUGUGGCUGCUUGUCUGCAUGAGCAUUUACUGGGUGUCAUUUUGGAAUAAUUUUUAUUUGAUGCUCUCUUAUUAGGAAUAGAUUUACAAACUGUGCAUAGGAGUAAAAUGUAACAUAUAUUCAACCAGAACAAAUGUAAAUAUUUUGCACUUGUUCAUUAUCCAUAUUUUCCUGGGGCAAAUACAGCAAGUCAUUUACAAAGGAUUUUUGUUUUAAAAAAUUACCAUUGGAGACCAACAACUGAAAAAUAUCCCUGGAAACCAAGAUUUUAAAACAAAGCCCUGGUCUUUAAAAACAUUACUGCUAUACUGGCUAACCAGAGGAAGGGUGAUUCAUGCUGCAUGUAGAACCAUCUGUGGGUGGAAACCACUAUCUGAAGAUGAGAGUUAGUCUUGGAGUAUUCCUGAUGUGGCAAGGUGUAGAGGUGUGUUUCUUGCACUUCCCUGUUCUGAAAACACACUUUUCAGUAAUGAACUUUUGAAGGAUGGUAAAUGUUGUGAGUUGAGCAAAUGGAGAAGUGCCUUUUGAACUGUGUGUUCUUUCUGGUCUUCAUUAUGCAGUUGAGGCUCUAAGAAGAGAACAGGCAGCCACAGCCCUUGUUGAUAAGCACCUACUAAGCCCAACUUUGUGAUGUUUAAUGUUGAUAGUGUAAUAAAAGAGUAAAAACAGUGAAAACUAAAACUGCGGUAUUACAUCCAGAGGCUGGAGAUCACUGGUGUAGUUGCUAAUUAUUUUAAUUAACUUUGUAUCAUACCAUAUAAAUGUUUUGCUUUCAAAAUGAA